rnacentral:sRNA from 1 species
UAUAUAAGGAGAUCUCAGUAAAGCCUUAGUGGCACUCGCUGGAAAUGGGUGACCCAUGUACAUGUUUUCUUUUUAAUCUGUAGGCCCACACAAACUCGGGGUUACAGGUUAGCUUUGCAGGUGUAGCUGACAAGUGGAGGUCCCACCGAGAUCGGAAAGAAGGGAGAAGCUGACGGACCGCUCCAGGGUGCACAAAAGAAAAGGAGCGAAUUGAUCAAGCAAACCGAAAUGAACAAUGAUGAAUGAAGAAAUAUAUGGCUACACAAGAUGUGAGAAUAAAUGAUAGAUAAAUUCACAGCUCUAAACAAGGCAUUUGGACCAUUUUCUCUAAACUUCAGGAAAUACUGCAGAUGAUGGAAUGAACAAAUAUAAAAAAGCUGAAGUUUCCGAAUGGCCAUAUCUUUUCUGAAGAGAAACAGAAGAGGAGUAGAUCUGAGGCAAAGAGGAGCAGGGAAACUACAGGAGUGGACGAAGGAUCCUUUGUGUCCCGCGUGUGUUCUUGCUGGCGAGACGUAGCAUGGGGCAAUUGGUGCAGAAAACCCGGGAAAAAGACCUCGCUAUCAUCAGCACCUCCAGAGACCCCUUGGUGACAAGGAGGAUUCAGAACUGCAGGUAAGCACGUUCGGAGAGGCAUGCCUUUCUGGGACUUUGGUCUGGGGUUGUCACC